UACGGAGGGUGCGAGCGUUGUCCGGAAUCACUGGGCGUAAAGGGCGCGUAGGCGGCUCGUUAAGUGGUCGGUGAAAUCCCGGGGCUCAACUCCGGGGCUGCCGAUCAGACUGGCGGGCUCGAGCACGGUAGAGGCGGAUGGAAUUCCCGGUGUAGCGGUGGAAUGCGUAGAUAUCGGGAAGAAUACCGGUGGCGAAGGCGUUCCGCUGGGCCGUUGCUGACGCUGAGGCGCGACAGCGUGGGGGAGCAAACAGG
rnacentral:rRNA from 1 species